GACGAACGCUGGCGGCGCGCUUAACACAUGCAAGUCGAGCGAGAACCUGGGCUUCGGCCCUGGGGACAGCGGCGAACGGGUGAGUAACACGUGGGUAAUCUGCCCUCGGCAUCGGGAUAGCCCGGGGAAACCCGGAUUAAUACCGAAUAGCCUCCGGAGCCUUCGGGCACCGGAGAAAAGGUAGCUCCGGCCUCUGGCCGAGGAUGAGCCCGCGGCGGAUUAGCUUGUUGGUGGGGUAACGGCCUACCAAGGCGACGAUCCGUAGCUGGUCUGAGAGGACGAGCAGCCACACUGGGACUGAGACACGGCCCAGACUCCUACGGGAGGCAGCAGUGGGGAAUCUUGCGCUAAUGCGGGAAACCGUGACGCAGCGACGCCGCGUGGGGGAAGAAGGCCUUCGGGUUGUAAACCUCUUUCAGGAGGGACGAAGCUACUCGGGUUAAUAGCCCAGAGGGUGACGGUACCUCCAGAAGAAGCCCCGGCUAACUACGUGCCAGCAGCCGCGGUAAAAC
rnacentral:rRNA from 1 species